AUUUUUUUCCCCUUCCAGUUGACUGGCUAUCUCUUAAAUUAGUUACGUUUUUCAUCUUUCUCCAUCUUUUUUUGCUGGUGUUGUCUAUUACUGACACUUUUUUGUGUUAUUUUGUUGGUAUAUCUUGUGGGUGUUCGCAGCGUUUGAUCAAUAUCCGAAUGAUUAUUACAGAGAUAGUUUGAUGACUAAUAUCUGGUAGAUUGAUCGGUUUGGUUUUGAUUUAAAGUCAUGCUGCUCGAUUAUUGAUGUUUUCAGCUUUUCUUCUUAGUUUCAUUGGUUUCUCUGUUUGUUCUCAGUUUUUGAAUCUGCUGCGUCUUCCUCCAACUUUUUGGGUUGCGCCUGUCAAUUACUAAUGCUUUUGUUAUAUCGGUUUCACGUAAGAGUAAUGCUUGGAAAACAUUUCAGCAAAUCACAUGGGGGCGUAUCAAGUCCAUUUUCAAGACUUAUAGCUUCCUUCAAGGGAGGUGUUUCCUCUGAUAAUGUCAACACUCUAGAGUAGAAAUACUCUUAGUUGUGAACAAUAUGCACCUUAGUUGCUCUUCCUCAAUGUAGCUUCGAGCUUACUCUCUUAGUCAUCUGUUAGAAUUCGUUACAACAAGAAGCUCCGAUUUGGUUGAGGAUUCUGCGAUUGGCCGGUGUUCUUGCUGGGUAUUCUAACGUACAGAAAAUUGAAGUGGGCUUGUACAAAUCCAAUUCGUAAUUUCCGUGAUGGCAUCCUCUGUGAAGAUGGAGUUUACAGAAUUUUGUGAUUUUUACCGCUCACUGCUAAGUAUGGGAAUUGUGCCAGACCAAUGCUAUGCGUUUCCGAAAUCCAAUGGAGAAAAGCCAUGGAAACAUUAGCAUAAACAACCAACAAUAUGAAGACGGUAAACCUAUUGCUUUACGACAGAGCGUGUUACUUUCGUACUAAAUUUUCCCCUUCCCUUAGAAUUGAUAUUACUUUUGUGAAGUUGGAAAUUUUAUGUCUGUUUUGGGCUAGACUUACAAUCCCCACUUUCAUUACACUAUUCCAUUGUGCAUAUGGAACUCUCAAGCCAUGUAAGAUUGUUGAAUUGACUAUUAUAUCUUGUGCACAUUGAAUUUCUUCCCUGCUAAUGAGUUUCAGACGUUACAUAUAAAUUGCAGUUGCUCUUU